rnacentral:rRNA from 1 species
CACGUAGGGCGCAAGCGUUGUCCGGAAUUAUUGGGCGUAAAGAGCUCGUAGGCGGUCUGUUGCGUCCGCUGUGAAAACUCGGGGCUUAACCCCGAGCCUGCAGUGGAUACGGGCAGACUAGAGGUAGGUAGGGGAGAAUGGAAUUCCCGGUGUAGCGGUGAAAUGCGCAGAUAUCGGGAGGAACACCAGUGGCGAAGGCGACUUCCUGGCCUGUUCUUGACGCUGAGGCGCGAAAGCUAGGGUAGCAAACGGG